CAGCAGCCGCGGUAAUACGUAGGGGGCAAGCGUUGUCCGGAAUUACUGGGCGUAAAGGGUGCGUAGGCGGCCUAAUAAGUCAGAUGUGAAAUACCGAGGCUCAACCUCGGAGGUGCAUUUGAAACUGUUGGGCUUGAGUGCAGGAGAGGAAAGUGGAAUUCCUAGUGUAGCGGUGAAAUGCGUAGAGAUUAGGAGGAACACCAGUGGCGAAGGCGACUUUCUGGACUGUAACUGACGCUGAGGCACGAAAGCGUGGGGAGCAAACAGGAUUAGAUACCCUGGUAGUCCACGCCGUAAACGAUGGAUACUAGGUGUAGGGGGUAUCGACCCCCCCUGUGCCGGAGUUAACGCAAUAAGUAUCCCGCCUGGGGAGUACGGCCGCAAGGCUGAAACUCAAAGGAAUUGACGGGGGCCCGCACAAGCAGCGGAGCAUGUGGUUUAAUUCGAAGCAACGCGAAGAACCUUACCAGGGCUUGACAUCCCUCUGGCCGGUACAGAGAUGUACCUUUUCUUCGGAACAGAGGAGACAGGAGGUGCAUGGCC
rnacentral:rRNA from 1 species